GUAAGCACGCCUCCUCUGGGUGGGGCGUUCUGGAAGCCGCUGGGUCUACGGAGGCCGUUCUCUCUCCUCCGUGCGUCUGAUGUGCUUGACGUUUUCCGGAGAAGAGAUGAUCCACUAGUUGCCAUCAAGACCCAAAUAGACCGGUAGCCAAUGAGAACGUUGGCCCUUCCACAGCCUACCUCCACAGAGCUACAGGCAUUGUCAGACCUCAUCUAGCCUCCUCAAGGGGUGCUGUGGAUGGUUCUGGGCAUGAACUAGUGAACAGAGAAGAUGUGUUUCCUGCCCUGGAGAAGUUCCUGAUUAGCCCUGGUGGAGUUUGCGGCUCAUGGCUGUGCUGGAAAAGUGUUGGUCAAAUCGGCUGACAAACAACUGAGAGGAAAAAAAAACCCCACCACCUGAUCAUACAGUAGACACAGAAGGGAGAGAAGAGGUUGGAGGGAAGAGGACACUCAGUCACCUGGAUGGCAAGUGCCAUGAAACAUAGUUCUACAGGUCUUUUCUGUUUGGUUCCUACAAUGGCCACGUGAGGAAGCCCCCUGCUCCUUCCUCUCUUUUCCACACAAAGAAGUAGUCAGAGAUGUCAACCUGGCUGGCGCCACACACACUGAGACAGUCGGGUCCACACGAAAGCUGUGGGUUAUGCAGGGCAGGAGACGGUGCCCAAUGAGCCUGGGGGAAUGGGAGAGGCCGGCCACUCUGAAGACAGACACGUGGAUCAUCCCUAACAAAGCAGGAUGACUGGGUGGCAUCACCAGCCCCUGCUCUGCUUACACCUGGUAUGACACGAGUCCCACCUGUGGUUUCCAAAAAUAUAGAGGCUCAGCAAAUGCUUAA